rnacentral:rRNA from 1 species
CUACGGGCUGCAGCAGUGAGGAAUAUUGCACAAUGGGGGGAACCCUGAUGCAGCAACGCCGCGUGGAGGAUGACGCAUUUCGGUGUGUAAACUCCUUUUAUAUGUCAAGAAAAUGACGGUAGCAUAUGAAUAAGCACCGGCUAACUCCGUGCCAGCAGCCGCGGUAAUACGGAGGGUGCAAGCGUUACUCGGAAGCACGGGGCGUAAAGGACGCGUAGGCGGGUUGGAAAGUCAGGUGUGAAAUCCUACAGCUUAACUGUAGAACUGCACUUGAAACUUCUAAUCUAGAGUAUGGGAGGGGGAGAUGGAAUUAGUGGUGUAGGGGUAAGAUCCGUAGAUAUCACUAGGAAUACCUAAAGCGAAGGCGAUCUCCUGGAACAUUACUGACGCUAAGGCGUGAAAGCGUGGGGAGCAAACAGGAUUAGAUACCCUCGUAGUC